rnacentral:rRNA from 1 species
AGCAGCCGCGGUAAUUCCAGCUCCAAUAGCGUAUAUUAAAGUUGUUGCAGUUAAAAAGCUCGUAGUUGAAUUUCGGGAUCAAUAUGUUGGUCGUGCCUUGGUACGUACUGGCAUUAUCGAUUCCUACCUUCUGAAGAAUCUCGAUGUCAUUAAUUUGGUGUCUUGGGGAAUCAGGACUGUUACUUUGAAAAAAUUAGAGUGUUUAAAGCAGGCUCGCGCUUGAAUACAUUAGCAUGGAAUAAUGAAAUAGGACGUUUGAUUCUAUUUUGUUGGUUUCUAGGAUCGACGUAAUGAUUAAUAGGGAUAGUUGGGGGCAUUAGUAUUCAAUCGUCAGAGGUGAAAUUCUUGGAUUUAUUGAAGACUAACUACUGCGAAAGCAUUUGCCAAGGAUGUUUUCAUUAAUCAAGAACGAAAGUUAGGGGAUCGAAGACGAUCAGAUACCGUCGUAGUCUUAACCAUAAACUAUGCCGACUAGGGAUCGGAUGAUGUUAAUUUUUUCAAUGACUCAUUCGGCGCCUUA